UAUGACGUUUUCCAACAUUUUAAUGGCGGCAUUAGGGAAAAUAAUUCGUGAACGUUCAAAAUAGUAUUUCUUCUAAGUUAUUUGCCCUAUAGCCUAAAUAAGAAAUAGAGAUUAAGUUGAUUGAAAAAUCUUCCUUAAACCGCUGGUCGACUGAGAAUCAAAAAUAUAUUUGUGAUGACCGAUGCUGCAACAAUAUUCUGAACCUGAUACAUCGUGAUGGAGAUUAAACAUAAGUAUAUAACAACGACAACAACAAUUGGAAAGAAAUAGAGAGGGAAAUAGUUGAUAAAACAGGCAACUUCGUCAGAGCAGACUUAGUAAAGUGCAGUGUUAUGCACAGUAAUGGAAAUAAAUAAACUACUUU